rnacentral:rRNA from 1 species
CAAUGGGGGAAACCCUGACGAAGCAAUACCGCGUGGGUGAUGACGGUCGUAAGAUUGUAAAGCCCUUUUCUGAGGGAAGAAUUCUGACGGUACCUCAGGAAUAAGCACCGGCUAACUCCGUGCCAGCAGCCGCGGUAAUACGGAGGGUGCAAGCGUUACCCGGAAUUAUUGGGCGUAAAGCGUCCGCAGGCGGUUUGUUAAGUUAAAUAUUAAAUCUUGAAGCCCAACUUUGAGGCUGUAUUUGAAAACUGAUAAACUAGAGUCUUUCAGAGGUGCGUGGAAUUCUGUG